rnacentral:tRNA from 2 species
GCGGGAAUAGCUCAGUUGGUAGAGCCGACCUUGCCAAGGUCGGGGUCGCGAGUUCGAGUCUCGUUUCCCGCUCCA